rnacentral:rRNA from 1 species
GAAACUAACAAGGAUUCCCCGAGUAAUGGCGAAUGAAACGGGAAAAGCCCAAAUUUGAAAUCUCCUAGCUUUUCGCUAGGCGAGUUGUAAUUUGUAGAAGGUUUUCAUCUGAACUGUGUUUGCUAAAGUCCAUUGGAAAAUGGCGGGCCUUUAUGGUCCUCAAGUCGUAGAGGGUGACAACCCCGUUCUUGGCAUUCUACUAGUUCUCUUGUAUGAUUCCUUCAAAGAGUCGGAUUGUUUGGGAAUGCAAUCCAAAUCGGGUGGUAAAUUCCAUCCAAGGCUAAAUAUUAGCAAGAGACCGAUAGCGAACAAGUACCGUGAGGGAAAGAUGAAAAGAACUCUGAAGAGAGAGUUCAACAGUACGUGAAAUUGCUGAAAGGGAAACGCUUGAAACGAUUGUUGCUCUUGGUUUCGGCCUUGAGCGAGUCAGUAGCAGUUUUGAACGGUAAAGAAGUGCCGGGAGAAGGUAGUUUUCUUUGGAAAAUGUUAUAGCUCCAGGUAACUGUGCCGGUUGAGACUGAGGAUCGCUUUCAAGAGUCUUGUCGAGGAAUUUUGGGCCGUUAGCGCCAAGGCCUUGGGCUUGCUCAAGACUUGGUGUUAACGGUUCAGGACGACCAAACACAAGGCCUUGAAAUAGGUUACUGACAAAAUGGUUUUAAUCGAC